rnacentral:rRNA from 1 species
UGGCACCUACGGGGGGCAGCAGUGAGGAAUAUUGGUCAAUGGGCGGAAGCCUGAACCAGCCAAGUCGCGUGAGGGAAUAAGGCCCUACGGGUUGUAAACCUCUUUUGUCAGGGAGCAAUUGGCGCUACGUGUAGCGUUAUCGAGAGUACCUGAAGAAAAAGCAUCGGCUAACUCCGUGCCAGCAGCCGCGGUAAUACGGAGGAUGCGAGCGUUAUCCGGAUUUAUUGGGUUUAAAGGGUGCGUAGGCGGAAUGCCAAGUCAGCGGUAAAAUCGCGGGGCUCAACCUCGCUCCGCCGUUGAAACUG